GUAUGCAUCAGCUAACUUUGAUUUAAAAAAAAAAAAAAAAAAAAAAAAAAAACGGAGCCGGAGGGGGGGGGGGGGGUUGGGGGGAGUUUACAAAUUACACCGCGAUUAGCCGGGAUCCUUCGGAGGGGGGGGGGGGGGGGGAGAGCGAGGGAGGAAGGGGGGCCCGCGGUUAAAGUCACUUCGGCAAAGUUUGCUCGGCGGCAGCCCUCGAAAACACAAAGUUUCUGGGCGAGUUGAGGGCAGGGGCGGUGCGGCUCGCCGUGCGGAGGGCAGCCCCCGGCCGAGGCACCCCGCGCCCGGCAGCCCGGCUCCGCUCCGCGAAGUAACGGUUCGAAAAGAAACGAGCGAGAAAGAGGCAAAACAAUCACCCCCUUCAUUGAUACCGAUCACCCAACAUCACAAGACAUCCCCAUCUCUCAGCGUGGACUCCCCCUAUCUGCAAGGGUGAAACUGGAAUGAAAUGGUCCAUCCAAGUCUUACUGAGACUGACAGGCUGGAGACCUGGCUUUGAAGUUUUCUAUGGACAAAAGUGGUUACUUUUGUAUUUCUACUGAAGAAUCUAUGCAUAACCAGACGAAUUCAAAGGUAAGCCAUCUCUGAAACAACUGGGAAGUAAGUCAAAAACGUGGGCGUUUUCAUCAGACAGUUGAAAACCUGUUCUACACAAGAAGAAAUACUUCAGAAUUCUUGGCUAUUUAGUUUGCGAGAUUGUCUUCCAAAGUUUGCAUUAUUGAUGUGAUGCCUGGCAGCAGUACUCUAGUUAAGAGAGUGACAGCAUUUCCAUUAAGAAACCUUUUUGAUGGUUAAGUUGGCCAUCAAAGUCGCCUUGUGCUUCAUUUGGCAUGCAGAUUCUCAGACCACAGUGCAGAUCCGGACCAUGGAAGCUGUUCCUCUCUCAUAUGUUGGGUAAGGGCAAAACUACACGCACAAAAAUACGUGCACACAAUUUCUGUGCACGUGAUUCUAUAAAUCUGGACCUGUUUGUAUUAAAUUACAGGAAAA
ensembl:lncRNA